rnacentral:sRNA from 1 species
GUGGUGGAGGAACUGCAGGAUCUGGCUCCGUUGCUCAAGGCUCUGCUGCUCAAGGGUCCGCUGCUCAAGGAUCUGCUGCUCAGGGAGGCGG